ensembl:lncRNA novel transcript, antisense to ZNF358
GGCAGCUGCAGCAGCGGCUGCACCCUCAUGCACCCGUUUGUGCUUGGUGAGGCUGGAGGCCUGGCCGAAGGCCUUCCCGCAGAGCUGACAGCGAUAGGGACGCUCGCCCGAAUGCACGUGCAGGUGCUGGAGCAGCGCUGAGCUCUGGCCGAAGCCCUUGGCGCACACCGGGCACUUGUGGGGCCGCGGGCCGCCGUGCGUGCGCAGGUGCUGUGCCAGGAGCGAGCCGUGCCCGAAGGCCUUGCCACACACCGGGCAGUGGUGCGGCUUCUCCCCGCUGUGGCUGCUGCGAU